AGCAAGAUGUGAANUCCCCGAGCUUAACUUGGGAACUGCGUUUUGAACUAGUAUGCUAGAGUAUGUCAGAGGGGGGUAGAAUUCCACGUGUAGCAGUGAAAUGCGUAGAGAUGUGGAGGAAUACCGAUGGCGAAGGCAGCCCCCUGGGAUAAUACUGACGUUCAUGCUCGAAAGCGUGGGUAGCAAACAGGAUUAGAUACCCUGGUAGUCCACGCCCUAAACGAUGUCAAUUAGCUGUUGGGGCACUUGAUGCCUUAGUAGCGAAGCUAACGCGUGAAAUUGACCGCCUGGGGAGUACGGUCGCAAGAUUAAAACUCAAAGGAAUUGACGGGGACCCGCACAAGCGGUGGAUGAUGUGGAUUAAUUCGAUGCAACGCGAAGAACCUUACCUGGUCUUGACAUGUACGGAAUCUUCCAGAGACGGAAGAGUGCCUUCGGGAGCCGUAACACAGGUGCUGCAUGGCUGUCGUCAGCUCGUGUCGUGAGAUGUUGGGUUAAGUCCCGCAACGAGCGCAACCCUUGUCAUUAGUUGCCACCAUUUAGUUGGGCACUCUAAUGAGACUGCCGGUGACAAACCGGAGGAAGGUGGGGAUGACGUCAAGUCCUCAUGGCCCUUAUGACCAGGGCUUCACACGUCAUACAAUGGUCGGUACAGAGGGUAGCCAAGCCGCGAGGUGGAGCCAAUCUCAGAAAACCGAUCGUAGUCCGGAUUGCACUCUGCAACUCGAGUGCAUGAAGUCGGAAUCGCUAGUAAUCGCAGGUCAGCAUACUGCGGUGAAUACGUUCCCGGGUCUUGUACACACCGCCCGUCACACCAUGGGAGUGGGGGAUACCAGAAGUAGGUAGGCUAACCGCAAGGAGGCCG
rnacentral:rRNA from 1 species